rnacentral:lncRNA from 1 species
CAUCUUGCCCCCGAUUGCUUCCACACAUUCCCGUAGCUCAGACGGCGAUAUUUUUCCAUCUCCAUUUUCAUCAAAGUGAUUGAACACACGUAUAUAUUGACUCACCUUGUCCAUGACGUCCAUAGUGUAUAUAUUUGUAAUUUUGUAUGUAUCAAUGUAUUACUCUAACUUCAAAAUUAAUUUGUACAACACUAUAGAUGAAAAACGAAAGUAUCGAGAAUUUUUUUUAUAAAGAAGAAAGUAUGAAGAUGCUAUAGGCAAAAAUAAUUGUGACCUUAUAUAUAUAUAUGGUUUGUGGCAAAAUUUGUUGUGGG